UACGUAGGGCGCAAGCGUUAUCCGGAAUUAUUGGGCGUAAAGAGCUCGUAGGCGGUUUGUCGCGUCUGCCGUGAAAGUCCGGGGCUCAACUCCGGAUCUGCGGUGGGUACGGGCAGACUAGAGUGCGGUAGGGGAGACUGGAAUUCCUGAUGUAGCGGUGAAAUGCGCAGAUAUCAGGAGGAACACCGGUGGCGAAGGCGGGUCUCUGGGCCGUAACUGACGCUGAGGAGCGAAAGCGUGGGGAGCGAACAGG
rnacentral:rRNA from 1 species